UUGACCUCGGAUCAGGUAGGGAUACCCGCUGAACUUAAGCAUAUCAUAAGCGGAGGA
rnacentral:rRNA from 1 species